rnacentral:lncRNA from 1 species
UAUUCGAAUACUUUCAAUGUGUGUUUACCUUUUCAUAGAUUUUUGAAAACUCUCGGUCAUCUAAUGUCCAUACCCUUCUGUGUAUGACACUAUAUUGGCUCCUUGCUUUUCUGACCUUAAACUGCAUCGUGAACACUUCUAUAUAAAUACGAAAUAGUACUUUGGAAUACAAAUUACGAGCUGCAUCGUUGUACUAAACAAUUUUUUAGCUCUAGCUUCCUUGCUGGUUUUUUAUUAUUAUCAUUUAUCACUAAUAUACUAGUGCAAUGUACAUGCUAAUAUAACUUAUAUACUAACACUGGUAAAUAAUGCAAUGUACAUACUAAUAUACAAGUAAUGAUAAUAAAUAUUUUUUAAUAUAUAAGUUAUACUAUAAUUAAAAUUCAUAAAAAAUAGAUAUUUUAAAUCUCUGAAUUAUAUUUUAGAUUUGUAGUGAAUAAUUUAAAUUUUAAUGUUAUUUUUAAUUUUUAACAAUUUCUUUUCAAAAAAUUAUUAAAUUCUAAUUUAGAGAUAUAGAUAAAAGAUAAGUAGAUAUAGAAUAACUAAACAAAUAAAGAUAAAGACAAGUAGUUUGAGAUGGUUGACAUUUUUUUCCAACUACUUGCAAGAUAAUAUGUGAAAUGUACAUCUGAAAAGGAAAAGGAGAGGGAAUAUAUGAAUGUCCAAUUGAGAAAGUAAAGUGAAAGCAUCACUAUUCAAAUUGUGUAUUCUAAUUCUAAUAUAAAAUGUAGGAGUGUAUUACUAUUUAUUUGAAAAGGAAAGGAAAUAAAUUACCAUAAACCAUUCUACCCGAAUUGGGGGGAGCCAUGCCAUAGCUGAAUAGAAAAGCAGGUAUGCAAAUAACAUCACCUGUCUAAAUAAAUGAAUAAAAAAAUGUUUUGCAGGGUAUGUCUGUGUGCGGGGGUUUGACAGGGAAGCACGAGCACCCCGUCCUCUGAUGGCUAGACUACAUUUCCCAGCUAGCAAGUUGGCCAAGACAAAAGAGAGGACAAAAAAGGAGUCGAGUUCAACGGCAAAAUCACGGGGAUCGAAACCAAAUCCAGAACAGCCGGAAUUGAUUGCCAACAGUAGCAACCUUCUACAGACGGGAAGAGACUGAAGACAAAUCAGCAUUUUUCAUCCCAUGCUGUGUUGCCCAGUUGCAUGUAUAAAAUGACAAAGUCAUUUUUUAAUUUAACUUUGAGUUCUUUUUAUCAUGCUCAGAGACUGAGCAGUUUUCCAGAUUAGGACCCAACAAUAAUAAUGUACUAUUGGUAGCACUUAGGCUUUAGUUUCUUGUUUCCAAAAGGAAAAUUAUGUGAAGGGGAGUGUGAGCCAUGUAAUGCCACAUGAGAGGAAUUGGGGCUACUUGCAUAACAGCAAAGUACUUUUUCCCCCAACUCCUACAGAGAUACACUUGGAAUAUUUUAGAUUUAAAUACCAUGCCCCCCUCACUUCACCUUCACUACUUGCAUAUUUAAUCUGAUUUUUACUUUUGAGUUCCAUCAUCAUGAUAUAUAAUAACAACGAUAAAGUUUUAUCUCACUAAGUGAUAUUUGCAUGGUACCAACAUCGAUUGUAAUGAUCCAAUGAUCCAAUAAACGGUUCAUUGGAUAGAGAUAAAUAAAGAAUGCACCCCCCAAGAAACAUAUAAGAAGCUCGAGAAAAUAAAAAAUUAUAAUGUAUAAAUCAAACUUUAGAUAAAUUAGGCUUCAUCAUCAUGAUGAUUUAAAAUUUUAAACAGUAUAACAAGAAGUAAAAUGGAAUACUGUCCUCUCUGGAUUAACUCACCAGUCCAUUUUCGGAUUUUAAUAGCAACGAAAACGAAUCCUAUCUCGCUCAGAAAUCAUUCAAAACUCAAUAAAAUUAGCAACAGAAAAUAGCCUUCAAACAAUUGGAAGGAAAAAAAAAACUGCAUCGUCCACAAACUUUCUAAGGUCUGAUGAAAACCUUACAAAUUAAUCGCAAAAUCACUUCCUCUAAAAUCACACACACGUACAAGUAACCAAUAAUCAACACAAACAUCGAAUGGGAAAAACCUAAUUUCAACUCAAACAUGGUAGUAAGGAACUGUGAAUUAACAUAGAGUAAAGGUUUAAGUGAGGAACAGUGAAUUAGCAUAGAGUAAUUUCGUACAAGAAAGCGUACCUUGAAGAUUUAUUUGGCGCGAAGGAAGCAUUGCAUCGAAUCAGAGAAAACGAACAACUGGCGAGGCAGAGAAGAUUGAAACGCAAAUUAUAGUUUUUU